CCGAGUAGCUGGGACUACAGGUGCACACCACCACACCCAGGUCACUCACUCCAGAGGAAGCCAGCUGCUGUGUCAUGAGGCACUCAAGCAGCCAUAUGGAGAGGCUGAUGUGGUAGGGAACUGAGACCUCCUGCCAACAGCCAGCAUCGUCUUGCCAGGAGGGUGAGUCAUCUUGAAAGUGGAUCCUCUAGCCCCACGCAAGCCUUCAGAAGACUACAGCCAACCCUGAGUAACAUCUUCACUGCAACUUCAAGAGAGACCCUGAACCAAAAAUACCCAGCUAAGCCUCUCUCAGAUUCCCAGUCCACAGAAACUGUGAAAUAGAUGUUUAUAGUUUAAGCGA
rnacentral:lncRNA from 1 species